GACGAACGCUGGCGGCGUGCUUAACACAUGCAAGUCGAACGAAGUGGCGAACGGGUGAGUAACGCGUAAUCAACCUGCCCUUCAGAGGGGGACAACAGUUGGAAACGACUGCUAAUCCCGACUACUGAAGGGGGGGUUUGCGGUUGAUUGGCUAGUUGGGGGGGUAACGGCCCACCCAGGCGAGGAGCAGUAGCCGGUCGGAGAGGGUGAACGGCCAAAAUGGGAACGGGGAACGGCCCCAACCUCUUCGGGGGGCAGCAGUUGGGAAUCUUCCGAAAUGGACGAAAGUCUGACGGAGCAACGCCGCGUGAGUGAUGACGGCCUUCGGGUUGUAAAGCUCUGUUAAUCGGGACGCGGUACCGGAAUAGAAAGCCACGGCUAACUACGUGCCAGCAGCCGCGGUAAUUC
rnacentral:rRNA from 1 species